ACAUGUGUUGCCGCCUCGGUGAGAACUCUAUACUUAGCUUUGGUGGUUGAAAGGGCCAUUAUAGGCUGCCGUUUACUUGACCAAUAUAUGGGUGCUUCGUCGAGUUCAUGUGAUGUGUCAAAGAUUGGUCGUCCUCCGUCAUAACAACGAUCAAAAUCCGCAUUCGCGUAAGUUACAAGCACCAUCUCGUUUUUAGUUGGAAAGUGAAUUCCAUACUUGGCUGUACCAUUGAGAUAUUGUAAAAUUUGCUUUGCCGCUACUAAGUGGGUGUGCUGUGGAGUUCUCAAAAAUUGGCUUAAACACUCCACGGCGAAGCUGAUGUCGACUCUAGACAUAGUCGAGGGAUAGAGCAGUGCGCCAAUCAAUGAUUGAUAUAAUUUUUGGUCAGUCUUGUGGGUACUGGUAUCCUCUCGUAGCUUUGUACUGGAGCACAUUGGUGUGCUCACCGGAUUACAGUGAGCCAUGUCAAAUUUUCUUAGUAGCCCUUGUGUGUAUAAAUAAUGGUGAAUAUAAAUUCCAGUAUGAUCACGAGUUAUUUCAGCCCCAAGGUACAUUAUUGCUUCAACUAGUUUGGUCAUGCCAAAUGUUUCCAAAAGUUGUGUAGUGCGCCCAUGUAUUUUGAUUUGAUCAUCUCCUGUUAUGAUAAGAUCAUCCACGUAAAGAAAAGCCAGUAUCAUUUUGCCGGCGCAAAUGGAUAUAUAGAGGUUGGAGUCUGAAGAGCUACGGGUGAGACCAACAGUACGGAAGUAGGUAUCGAUGUGGAUGUACCAAGCAUGCGGAGCUUGUUUCAGGCCGUAGAGUGCUCUUUCUAAUUUACAAACCUUUUCCUCAAGCCCAGGUGCUUUGAAUCUAGCAGGAAUUUCUAUGAAAACUUUCUCCUCCAGCUUGCCAUAUAGAAAAGUAGUUUUCACUUCUAAUUGAAUAAGAUACCACUGUCUUUGUGCCCUUAGUACUAGAACGGUGUGUAUUGUUGUCUAUCUUAUGGCCAGUGCGUAGGUAUCAAAGUAAAUGCCGUAGGUUUGUUGAAACCCAUGGGCUAUCAAUCAAGCCUUCAAUAUUGUCCGUCCAUAGCCUUCUUUUUUAUUCUAUAAAUCCAUUUUGCGGUCAUUGUUGUUUUUCUCGCAAGUAAAUCCACUAUGCGCCAUGUUUCAUUUUUCUGAAUUGAUUCCAUUUUGCUCUACAUUGCUGCUCGCCACCCAUCGUGCAAGUUGGCUUCUAUAGAAGUGAGCGGCUCCGAUUCUAUUUCGAUUGUUACCAAGUAAUGGUCCUUCAACCAAGUAGACGGGUAGCGUGAUUGGGCUGGAUAUCUGCAACUAUUUGUUGCUUGUGUUGAUGAAUUGGUGCAAUGACAAGGUAGAUCUACUUUUUCUGCUAUAUCCUGGUUUCAGAAUGUAUCAACAUAUUCCAAAGGCUCUGCAGUUUCUGACGGUGGUUGGCGAGUUAGUGGUUCUGAAGGAGGGCAAUAGGAUAGGAUCAACUUGUUCUGGUGCAUUGAUAUAAUCCAUUCCUCUCGUUGUUUCAUCGAAGACCACAUCGGGUGUAACAUAGAUUUUUUGAGUGUGUGGUUCAAAGACUCAGUAUGCCUUGGAGUAUGAGUCGUACUCUAUCAUAAUACAUUUGAUGAUCUUGGUAUCUAGUUUUGUUCCUAUGUUUUGGUAUGUGCAUGUAAUAAAGACAAGCAAAAGUUUGGAGAUGACUUACAUUGAGUUUUUUCUUGCUGUAUAGUUCCUCCGGUGUGAUUCCUUUGUUGGCUGUGGUAGAGUUCCGAUUUAUAAUAUAGGUGACUGUGUUGACUGCUUUGCUCUACAAAUAGCCAAGUAAUUUGCUGCCCAAUAUACCUUGCUCUUUCAAUUAUUAUUUGAUUUUGUCGUUCUGCUGUCCCAUUUUGUUGAGGUGUUUGUGCUUAAGUUGGUUGUCGUUUUAUACCAUGGUGAUUGCAAUAAUGUUGAAACUCAAGUGACAUAUCUUCUCCCCCACGGUUUGUUCAAAGAUAGACAUGCUUCACAAACAGUUCUAACUUCGCCCAACUGAGCAAAAAUCCAACACUUGCUAGCAGAUAAGGUUACUACAUUGCCAGAUUCAACAAGGCAUCCAACUGAAAUUAGGUUGCAUCUAAGAGAUGGUACGUACAAAAUUUUAUCCAGUUUUAUUGCACCAUUGGUUGUCUCAAUUACAGCAGUUCUUGUAGAUUUGAUUCGAUGUUUUUUUCCUCAGACAGUGAUUACAGUGCCGAUUUCUACUUAACUGCUUCUAGUGUUGUUCAUACACUUGUGACAUGACGGAUGGCACCCGAGUCCAGGUACUAUGGUUGUCUUUGUUCUGCUAUGUUUGAAAGUUCAGUAAAUGCUACUUCUAUGUCAUUUUUGCAAUAUUUACCAGCCGGUUCAGCUUGUGUGUCCUCCAUUAGAACUACGUUAAUUUCAUCCCUGUGUGAUCGUUGUGUUGAGUUCGUGACAUUGUAUCUGCAGUAACGUGUCGGGUGCAUCGAGCUACCACAAUUUGAGCAGUCAUUUUUGUCACUUUCUUGGCUGUCCAUAGUUUGAUGUGAAUUGGCGGUUAUUGUUGUUGUUUCGUCCACUUGUGCAGUAGUUCAAACCAGCAUUGUAUGUGUGAUUUUGACCUCCAAAGUUUCAAGUAAACCGUUUCCUAAUUUGAUUUGCAGUAUUAAACCUGCAAAACUCAACUGA